UUGACGUUACCCACAGAAGAAGCACCGGCUAACUCCGUGCCAGCAGCCGCGGUAAUACGGGGGGGUGCAAGCGUUGUUCGGAAUCAUUGGGCGUAAAGAGCGUGUAGGCGGCUUGACAAGUCAGAUGUGAAAUCCCUGGGCUUAACCCCAGGAAGUGCAUUUGAAACUGUUUGGCUGGAGUAAGGGAGAGGAAAGUGGAAUUCCUGUGUAGAGGUGAAAUUCGUAGAUAUCAGAGGAACACCGGUGGCGAAAGCGACUUUCUGGCCCUAUACUGACGCUGAGACGCGAAAGCGUGGGUAGCAAACAGGAUUAGAU
rnacentral:rRNA from 1 species